AGCGAACGCUGGCGGCAGGCCUAACACAUGCAAGUCGAACGAACCUUUCGGGGUUAGUGGCGGACGGGGGAGUAACACGUGGGAACGUGCCUUUAGGUUCGGAAUAACUCAGGGAAACUUGUGCUAAUACCGAAUGUGCCCUUCGGGGGGAAGAUUUAUCGCCUUUAGAGCGGCCCGCGUCUGAUUAGCUAGUUGGUUGAGGUAAUGGCUCACCAAGGCGACGAUCAGUAGCUGGUCUGAGAGGAUGAUCAGCCACAUUGGGACUGAGACACGGCCCAAACUCCUACGGGAGGGAGCAGUGGGGAAUCUUGCGCAAUGGGCUAAAGCCUGACGCAGCCAUGCCGCGUGAAUGAUGAAGGUCUUAGGAUUGUAAAAUUCUUUCACCGGGGACGAUAAUGACGGUACCCGGAGAAGAAGCCCCGGCUAACUUCGUG
rnacentral:rRNA from 1 species